rnacentral:rRNA from 1 species
UACGUAGGGGGCAAGCGUUGUCCGGAUUUAUUGGGCGUAAAGAGCGUGUAGGCGGCCAAACAGGUCCACGGUGAAAACUCGAGGCUCAACCUCGAGAGGUCGGUGGAAACCGUAUGGCUAGAGGCCGGAAGAGGAGAGUGGAAUUCCCGGUGUAGCGGUGAAAUGCGCAGAUAUCGGGAAGAACACCCGUGGCGAAGGCGGCUCUCUGGGACGGUACUGACGCUGAGACGCGAAAGCGUGGGGAGCGAACAGG